rnacentral:rRNA from 1 species
GAUGAACGCUGGCGGCGUGCCUAAUACAUGCAAGUCGAGCGAACAGACGAGGAGCUUGCUCCUCUGACGUUAGCGGCGGACGGGUGAGUAACACGUGGAUAACCUACCUAUAAGACUGGGAUAACUUCGGGAAACCGGAGCUAAUACCGGAUAAUAUAUUUAACCGCAUGGUUCAAUAGUGAAAGACGGUUUUGCUGUCACUUAUAGAUGGAUCCGCGCCGCAUUAGCUAGUUGGUAAGGUAACGGCUUACCAAGGCAACGAUGCGUAGCCGACCUGAGAGGGUGAUCGGCCACACUGGAACUGAGACACGGUACAGACUCAUACGGGAGGCAGCAGUAGGGAAUCUUCAGAAAUGGGCGAAAGCCUGAAGGAGCAACGCCGCGUGAGUGAUGAAGGUCUUCGGAUCGUAAAACUCUGUUAUUAGGGAAGAACAAAUGUGUAAGUAACUAUGCACGUAUUGACGGUACCUAAUCAGAAAGCCACGGCUAACUACGUG